rnacentral:rRNA from 1 species
AUAUUAAUAAGGGGAGGAAAAGAAACUAACAAGGAUUCCCUUAGUAACGGCGAGUGAAGCGGGAAGAGCUCAAUUUGAAAAUCGACUACCCAACGGGUCGUCGAAUUGUAGCCUAUAGACGUACUAUCAGCUAAAACCUGGGUAUAAGUUCUUUGGAAUGAGGCAUCAUAGAGGGUGAGAAUCCCGUAUAUGGCCCAAAGCUUUUAGCGUACGAUGUAUGUUCAUCGAGUCGAGUUGUUUGGGAUUGUAGCUCUAAAUGGGAGGUAAGUAUCUUCUAAAGCUAAAUAAUGGCGAGAGACCGAUAGCGCACAAGUA